UAAAACCAGCUCUUCAAGUGGUCGGGAAUUUUAUUGGGCUUAAAGUGUCCGUAGCCGGUUAGAUAAGUUCCUGGUUAAAUCUGGCAGCUUAACUGUCAGUUCGCUAGGAAUACUAUCUUACUAGAGGGUGGGAGAGGUUUGAGGUACUCCAGGGGUAGCGGUGAAAUGCGAUAAUCCUUGGGGGACCACCAGUGGCGAAGGCGUCAGACUGGAACACGCCUGACGGUGAGGGACGAAAGCCAGGGGAGCGAACGGGAUUAGAUACCCCGGUAGUCCUGGCUGUAAACGAUGCGUGCUAGGUGUUGGUAGGGCUUGGAGCUGUAUCAGUGCCAAAGGGAAACUGUUAAGCGCGCCGCCUGGGAAGUACGCUCGCAAGAGUG
rnacentral:rRNA from 1 species